rnacentral:rRNA from 1 species
UACGAGGGGUGCAAGCGUUGUUCGGAAUUACUGGGCGUAAAGCGCGUGUAGGUGGCUAAUUAUGUCAGGUGUGAAAGCCCUCGGCCUAACCGAGGAAGUGCGCCUGAAACUGAUUAGCUUGAGUACGAGAGAGGAGGACGGAAUUCCCAGUGUAGAGGUGAAAUUCGUAGAUAUUGGGAGGAACACCGGCGGCGAAAGCGGUUCUCUGGAUCGAUACUGACACUAAGACGCGAAAGCGUGGGUAGCAAACAGG